ensembl:lncRNA
CCUUAGAAAAUCAGAAAGUACUGAUUUUGGCGGAUGGAGUUGCUGAGGAGUCCUUGGGAUAGCUUUUCUUUUACAGUUUUUCCCAGUACGUUGUUUCCUUGAGGCAGGGAAGUCCUGCUGAUAUCUGCCAACCUUCCUGAACUGCCCUGCAGGGAAGGACAAACGCUUAUUGCCUAAAAUGAGUAGUGGGCUUCUAUUCCCAGUUCCUUUUCCCUUUGAUUGCAAAGCCCCCUGACGUUUCUGAGACUGGAUUGCUGGAUACUGAGGUGCAGGUCUCAUGGCUCAUUGCAUGGAGGGCUCUUGUUGAAAGCAAAGAGGUGGGAAGAGCACUUGGAGCAGAGGACGGCCGCUGCUGUCAGAUUAUCUGGUUUGUAGGUCCUGGAGGGGUCUCCUUCACCAUCAGAAAGCACCGUGUGGUAUCAGCAGUGCUCAGCUUUAGGCAAGGCUGGUAGGAAGGCUUUCUAGCUUGAGUUGACCUAUGUUCUAUUUAUCCUUGGUUUUCCAUGUUCUUCCAAAUCACUGAUUUUUCCCUCCUGCUCUACAGCUGCACAUAGGACUUCACUCACACUGCUGUGCCUGUAGUUGUUCCAGUCACUGCUUCCCUCUUUCAAACACGCAGACACUGCCUUUGCUCUCCGGUUGGAUGAUGCCCCAGCAAGAUGAACAUCCAGCCCUUGCUGGGAGACCUCCAGCAGCACAGGAAGGGCCUUGGAGUUCAGGUGUCUCCCACCUCAUCCCACCAAUGUGGUUGCACUGAGGUUUUCUAUCUGCUUCCAGCUCAUUUCCACCCUUGCAGACCCACUUUGCCUUCAUUUCACUCUUCAACGUAAUCCCUAGAAACACAUUCAUUUUCUAUUUGGUCCUACUCAGAUUAACUACAAUCUCUAGCUACACAAGGUAAGAACAAGGAAGAACUGAAGCUCUAGAGACAGACUUCUGUUAGAGGUUUUAAUAUAAUUUGCAAGUUUCAGUUCAGUUUGAAUUUCUCAAUUUUCAUUUUCUCUGCAUGUUCCCUGACCUGUGUCGUAUCUCUCUUUGAUGAGCAGUCAUUUUCCUAUCCCUUCUGUGGGUUCUCAGCUUACUGCUCAUAUAUUUUUAGAGGCGGUUACUCAUCCUGUCUUAUCUGAACUUUUUUGCAGAUAUAUUUUCCCUGUUACUUGUCAGACAGCUUCCAGACUGCCUCCUAACUUUGAGGUCCCCAAUUUUUCCAGCAAGUUGGUUACUGGUUUCCUAGGUUUCCCCAGAUUUACCCCAGUGAAUGUGGGGGAGAUCUACAUUAACUUUUUUCCCCUCCAAUCUCACAUGGUUAGACAACAUGGCCAUUUUCCAUGACCAAUUCAUGAGCUGUACCUCAAACUAAAAUGGCAACAAACUGUUGAAUUGGAGCCCAUCCAAAGAUACCUUCUUGUCUUAUCCAUAAAUGUUCAUCCAGACCUUCACCGUCUUCUCCGUUCCUUACUCCUCAUCUGCUGCCACUCUACUCUCUCUUGACCUCGUCUACAAUAAAAAUGCUAAUUGUAUGAUCUCAUCUAAGGGUUUUCUCCUUGCUUUAGCAGCAGUGCUCAGUGAGUGAGGCAGGUCUGACAUUUGCUUUUGGACUCUCUUCUCAGCCAUCCCAUAUCACUGAAAAUCAGUCACACUAGAAAACCAUUUUUUCUUACCGAAUAUUAUCAAUGAGUAACUAUAGAUGCUUUCUUUCUGAUUAGCACUAAUGAAUCUAAUAGCAUGCUUUUAUCAGUAUUCCUUCACAUUAUGUAGUUUAUUGAUGUACUUUGGUGCCUAUUUUCUAUAAUGAAAACUAUGAAAUUGCAUAUCUAUCAUGACUAAGUAGUGAUGUAACUCAGAGCCAACUUUAAUUGUUGACUCUUCCAGUGAAAAGGUGAUCUGAGAGGCUGUAACUGCAAAUGCCAUGGAGUUAUCUUUUCCUAAUAAAUAACCCAUUUUCCCAUAAAGGUGGAAAAUUCAAACUGAUAAAGGGAAAAUAAAUUUUCAUAGCCAGUGUAAUUAGUGUGUGGGAUUUCUCACCACAGAAAGUCUUUCAGCCCAAAAACAUUGCAAGAUUAAAGAGAGCUCAGGCAUUAUGUGAGUAGUCAGAAGUCCACCAUUGCCAUAACCAUGGCUGUAAAGGUUUUGUAAGUGAUAUGAAGCUGCAUAUCUCUUCCAAAGGUCAAUAUGAGUCUCAAAGUGGGGCAAGAAAAUAUACAUACACUGAGGGUCUGGGACCAUUUCCUAAAGUAUCUGGGUGCCAACCCUGGAAAAUAAAGGCCACAAAGCAGCUGAGCAGCUGACCUACCAGCACCCAGGUACUGCUGUGUCUGCUGUUUAACUCCAGCCUGGCAGUAGGUUUCUGCAGGGAAAGAGAAGCUCUUCCACUCAUGCUGACACUGCUGCAUUUCUCCUGCUUAUAAUAAAAUAAGUUCCUUUCAUUUCUAAUACAUUCAAAUGAGCUUUUUAUAAUCCUUAUUUAUGAGAUGAACUCAGCUUGCACUAUUAGAAUAAAUCUAAUAAAACAACUGGUACUU